rnacentral:lncRNA from 11 species
CUGAGAUUCUCUGGCAUGGCCGCUCGACUGGUCUGACCCACUUGCUACCCACCUUCGAUGGUGCUGCCCUAUCUCCUUCGCCCACCGUUAAGAGCCUGGGAUCCGCAGCUGACAAUGGAAGCUCAGGUCGCUGCUGCCAGCAAACAGGCCUUUUUCCACCUACGACAAGCGAGGCAACUGGCACCCUAUCUAUCUGAUGAGGCGCUGGCAACAGUCAUCCAGGCCACGGUCACGUCUAGGCUGGACUAUUGCAACGCCCUGUAUGUUG